CUCUAUUUUCACAGCUCAUGGAUGUUAUCCUGAAGAAGUAAAGAUGGAUGCCCUUCUCUAAUGAGCUUUUCUAGCAAGCAGAGAGGCACUGUGUUCCUGCACCUGGUUAUUAUACUGUCUCCUUCAGAAUCUCUCUGGGACAAACCGGUUUCUAUUGCAAGACCUUCUAUACUGAAGCACUUGUUUAUAUUAAGGCUUCACUAUCCAAAUCCUGUCUUCACUGGCUUCAAGAAUCCUGUCUUCACUGGCUUCAAAUCUGGGAUGAAGGAGGCUCCUUAGUGGAGAGCAAACCAAAGAGGUGUUUGCAGUCAGGAAGGUAAAUCAAGAUACUGAAGGUUUCCAUGAGGAAGGUAGUAGAUGCUGUCUCCCUUGGGGUGAUUUGUGAAGAGGAUAAAGAAUAAAGCAACCAGAGACUGUGGCCUUUGGGUUUCUGCCUGCUGAGAAAUGACAAAUAGAAUCCCAGCCAGCUGGAAGCUCUGAUUCACAGAAACAGGGGAGGUCAUGUGAAAUAUAAAGUCAAACAGAAAGAGCUACAUGGAGAGUUGCUAAGUUUUAUUUUAAAACUUAUUAAUCUUGAUAUUGGGGAGUGGACCGGACUUUGGUGGAAUCUGCUAGAAAGCAUUCUACUAUCACAUCUGUUCCUGCAGAGGUCAAAGUUUGGAGUGCAACUAGAGAGAUUAGCAGUUCACUCUUCCCAGCCUGCCUGACUUCUCAUAGCUUAAUCUUCGGGCACAGCUGCUGUGAGUACACAGACCCUGGGACUCAUAUCUUGCCCUGCUCCUGGCCCGAGGACAAGAUUGGGAGGAGCUGUGGGCAGGUUUCUGAGAUAAAAAUCUCAGAAGAACAGCUUUGCUCGUGAGCUUUCUGAUAUUUCCACUGUGGUCCUGGCCAGAAACACUUCAAAAUCUUGGAUGGCUUACUCUCCUUGAGAACACUUCCUCAUGGGUUUUGAAUCUCCAGCUCAUUCCACUCCCAGGCAGAAAGGAAGAGGAUGAUCACAGAAACAAAAGGCAUCUGCCAACUGAACCUGCCACCCUUUAAGGGGAGCAUUCCUGAAAGCAGCACGUGAUAAUCUUUGCUGACAUUGAAUUGAGCAGAGUAGUGUUUCGUGACCAUCCUGAUCUACAAGGGAAGCAGAGAAGUGUAGUUCAAAAGAUGUGGACACAGUGCUGUUUCCAUAAAUGGGAGUUAUAUUGGUAAGGAAGAAAGUGCAAAAUGUUUUGGGGUAGGCAGUAGACAGCCUCCAACACCUUUUUUCUUAACUUCUCUAUGUUUACUUAAAUUCCCACUGACUUUGAAUAAAACAAUCCUUGUUUCCUAUCAUCAUCAUCUAACUUCACAUCUUCAUUGUCUUUUUGCUUAGAUUAUUACAAAACCAAGUGGACUAUGUGUGCCUCUAUUUCACUGCAACUACUGUCCUUAUUCAUUAAUCUAUUAAUUCAUCAGGAAAAUAUUGAUAACGGGCAUUGUGCUAUGUGCUAGCGAUGAACAGAAUUGUGACUUUUGACUUCAGGGCCUCACAGUUCAGUUGGAGAGAGCAACAUGGCACCAGUUGACUCUAGGGCAACACAAUAAGUGACAUAACAGAGACAGAUGGAAGGGAAUGAAGAAGCAGAGAGAACAUCCUGACUAAUUCAAUCUGGAAACGGUGAGGAAGACCUUCCAGGGGUGCAUCAUUUCCAACUUACCUCCCACAAUCACUACCUCCCACAUUGUCCAAAGUAUUCAGCUGUCUCAGGGAGAAUCAUGAUUAUUCUACUGAGACUGCAAAAAGAGGGAAAGGCACAGCUUUUAACAUCAGCAGAUAAUCAGGAUGACUCCACCUUUGUACCUGACUGAGGAACUUAGUGAACCCCGAAGAAAUGAAGAUUAAAGAGGCAGUGAAGACGGGAGACAUUGGGCUGUGCUCUUCUAGAUAUGACAGGGAACAAAUAAGCCAACUCCAGAUGCAACCAAAGUGGUGCAUAUACUAUCUAAGUACACAGAAGAACAAAGAGGUGGAAGUUUGAGGCAGCUUUCCAAACCAUUUUUCUGAAUUUGUUUUCCAUCUUAGUUGUAUGCCUUAAACAAAUACACCAGCUGUCUUCAUUCAGCCUUCUGGAGCAUCUCCACAUUCCACGUGUGCCCAUGAAUCUUUUCCCAUGUACACACAUAAAUUGUUUGGAAUUCCAUUUCUUAGAAAAGCUGAAGAUUGACCCGAUUCUUUAAGUGCUGGGAAUAUUACCAUAAUAAAUGGUAUCAUUACAUGAUAAGAGCAAAUGUGUGAUUGCAGUCAACAUAUUUUCUACAUCAUUAAUGAGAGACUAGCAGCUUGGAUACACAGCAGUCUACAGUCAGUGACUAAGCAGUGGUAGGACUCUGUGAAGUGAGGAAAUAGUUCCAACCAACCCCAGGGAGAUGGUUGUAAUAUGGAGUAAAAGCUGCCCUGCAAGUGGUUUAGUACUGCCAACACUCUCCAUCAUAUACACAAUUUCCAAACUACUUUAUAUUCUAAAAGGCCACCUGAACAUAAGUGGUCAAAAGACCUUUUUUCUACCUUCAUUUUUCGUCUGUUCUUUCCAUUGGAUCUUCGAUUCUGAGAAGUCUGACCCACAGAAAGAAGGAGGCUUAACUCUAGGAAUGCUCUCUCUUCUCCGUCUCUUUCAUCUUUCUUCUCCCUCCCUCCCUAGAGGCAUCGCGGAAGCAUCAAUGAUGCCUUUUCUUUUCUCCUCUUCUUCAGUCUACUCCACACAACCCCAUGUCCUUGGAUAAACCACCAACAAAAGUCUGAAGAUGGUUUGCAAUGGAAAUGGAUUAUUGAAGACAAAGAGUCCUGUCGUAAGUUUUACAUUUUAUACACCUGUGAUGUUGUUGUUCUUAAAAUUGACAAGAAAAUCAGGAAAUUUACAUAAUUCCUGUGAGUUUCUGGACAAAUGAGUUUAUGACUAUAAAGUACCUUGGUAAUCUAAUCUAUAGAACUGUAGGUAAAUAUAAUUGGGCAUUAUUAA